GAUGAACGCUGGCGGCGUGCCUAAUACAUGCAAGUCGAACGAGGUGCUUGAGUAGCAAUACAAGAGUAUCCUAGUGGCGAACGGGUGAGUAACGCGUGGAUGACCUGCCCCAAAGUGUGGGAUAACAGUCCGAAAGGAUUGCUAAUACCUCAUGUGGUUAUCGGAUUUAGAAACUGAUAACUAAAGCAGCAAUGCGCUUUGGGAGGGAUCUGCGUCCCAUCAGCUAGUUGGUGAGGUAACGGCUCACCAAGGCGACGACGGGUAGGGGACCUGAGAGGGUGGCCCCCCACAAUGGAACUGAAACACGGUCCAUACACCUACGGGUGGCAGCAGUAGGGAAUAUUGCUCAAUGGGCGAAAGCCUGAAGCAGCAACGCCGCGUGUGCGAUGAAGGCCUUCGGGUCGUAAAGCACUUUCUUACGAGAUGAGAAAGGACAGUAUCGUAGGAAUAAAGUCUCGGCGUAACUACGUGCCAGCAGCCGCGGUAAAGU
rnacentral:rRNA from 1 species